ACCCAUGUACCCCUACCUACCCUACUAAUCUUUUCUACUCUCACUAACGGAUUACAUAUACAGACAUCACACCUCCACACUGCUUCCUCACCAUUCCAUACACAUACAUAGUUCACAACUUCACAUAACAGCUCUACACACAUAUGAAAUACACUCGCAGACACACACUGGAAUGGGAAAAAGAAGAGAGGGCAAGAUUGAGAACUUAGAAAGAUAGAGAGAGAGAUUGUGUGAGAUAAGAAAGAUGAGGAGGAGAUAGAAAACCAAUGAGAGAGGGAGUAGAUAGGGAACAAUACCCACAGACUAAAAAUCGAUGAGUUAGAGAAUUAGAAAUAGAGAGAAAUUGAGGGAGAAAUAGAGAGAAAUUGAGGGAGAAAAGGAGAAAAUAGUGAACUAAGAGAGAAAAGAGAGAAGACGUGGGAGAAGAGAGAAGAGCCGGUGAAUCAAAUUUUCCAAUGAUUUUCUCACUAAGAAACUCGUCCAAACCUGUCGGAGAACGCCACCUGCUUCACCCUCUGCACCGUCAAGACUGCACGAUUGAUAUCACCCACAAAACCCCAUUGUCGAUGAGCUAUCGAUGAACCACCACCAUAAUUCAUUCCAUUUGAGCUUUCCAGUUGAUUGAGUAAUCUGUACCAAUUCCCUUUUUGUUAUCAAAUUGACUAUUCAGCACUUGGAUAUCGAGUUUGGUGAAAUAGAGUUUGAGGUGAAGUUUAUUCGGAUUUAAUCUUGUUUGAGGUAUUUUGGCGCCACUUUGUCGAAUAAUUCGGGAUUGAAAUAAAAAUUGUGGCCCAUUUCUUUUGACUUUAUUUCUCCUAUUUUAUCUUAAUAUGGUGUUGAUGUUAUGAUUAUAUGUUUCAUGAUAUGAUUGAUGGUAUGUGUGGAGUGAAUUUGAACAAUUUAGAUUGUAUGGUGAUAAAAAUGAAAUUUGGGGUAAAAAUUGAACAAUUGGUAAGAUUAAAUAUUAUUUUGCUUUGAUCCUGAAAUGCAAAUUAAUUUUGUCGAACUCAAUUAUAUCAUGUUUUAAGUCGAGAGUCGACAAGCAAACUUAGGUUGGCUAGGCAAAUUUAGGAUUAUGAAUUGUUGAAUGUUUGAGUGUUUGUUGAGUAAUUUUAUUUUAUCGCAUUUGAAUCAAUUGUACUCAUUUGGCUGGGGAAUACUUUGGGGAAACUUAUAUUCAUUCACCAGAGAAUGCCCUGACAUAUUAUGUCUUCAAAAGAGGUUUGUGAUCAAGGCCCGAGGCAUCGAGUAAAGCAUAGUUUGGAUAGUUUAGGUUUUCAUCUCAACAUUUUUUUCUUUUGGUUUGUAAUAAAUUGGACUGGACACCAUUUUAGAGUUUUGACUGUUUGAUUGUUUGUUUUUUUAUUUGUUGUGUGUUUUGUUUGGUUUAUGCAUUUUAUAGUAUCGUGCUAGCCGAUAUACUCUAUCGAGCGAUCGUGGUCGAACCACGAAAUUGAGGGAUGCCUAACACCUUCCUCUCGGUAAACAAAAUUCCUUAACUAGAAUCUCUAUUCGUGGAUCAAUAUUUUUUAGAGUCAAACUAUUUUGAAAAAGCAUUUUCAAAGGCGACUUGGCACACUCGAUUUAUUCCAAGUGGCAACUCUGAAAUUGAAUGUAACAAUCCUUUUCGAAGAAAAUUUUCCUUUUGCGACUUAAUAAUAAAAUUCUUUUCAAAUUUACAAUCGAAUAAAUCUUCUUUUGGUAAAAAAGGGUGUGACAUCUUUGGCGACUCGGCUGGGGAUAUUCUAAAUUCGAGAUUUAUUUUGAGUUGAAUCGACUUAGUGUGACACUAGUGGUGUAUAGAUGUCUUGUUUGUGUUAUCAUUUAUGUUAUUGUUUUAUCAUUAUCAAGUGCCUACGUGCUACGUAUUUACAGUUUUUUUCUUAUGUGUUACCAUUUUAUAUUUUUCAUCAUUUACAUAACCCGAGUUAUUGCUUUUGCAGUAAGUUCUGGAGUACACGUCAUGUACACGAACUUUAGUUGAGCCACCCUUAUUUUAGGAAGGGGAGCCGUCAGACGUAUGGAGUGGGUGAAAAGCUGUCACAAUCACUAUCGAUCAUACGCUCCCUCGAACAGCCUUGUUGGACCGCAACCUAGGUCAGACUUUAGGUCAUACUUAUUUGCAUCAUAUUAAGACCUGGAGUGACCCACUUGGUUCUUUAUAGGAG
rnacentral:lncRNA from 1 species